rnacentral:rRNA from 1 species
CCCUUAGAUGUCCUGGGCCGCACGCGCGUUACACUGAUGCAUUCAACGAGCUUACAACCUUGGCCGAAAGGUCUGGGUAAUCUCCAAAAUCCGUCGUGAUGGGGAUAGAUUAUUGCAAUUAUUAAUCUUCAACGAGGAAUGCCUAGUAAGCGCAAGUCAUCAGCUUGCGUUGAUUACGUCCCUGCCCUUUGUACACACCGCCCGUCGCUCCUACCGAUUGAAUGGUCCGGUGAAGCGUUUGGACUAUGGUUUUCUGAUGGUCCGCCGUUGGAUUACCGUGGGAAGUUCGUUAAACCUUAUCAUUUAGAGGAAGGAGAAGUCGUAACA